GGAGUCUGGGCCGUGUCUCAGUCCCAAUGUGGCCGUCCACCCUCUCAGGCCGGCUACCGAUCGUCGCCUUGGUGGGCCAUCGCCCCGCCAACCAGCUAAUCGGACGCGGGCCCAUCGGAGAGCGGAUGUUUCCAUCCUUUGGCGCGGAGAACAUGCGUCCUCCGCGCAACAUCCGGUAUUAGCACCCCUUUCC
rnacentral:rRNA from 1 species